GAAGAUCAGCAGAAGCUCCCCAUACAAUGAAACCUGAGCUCUGUGAAAGGUAACCCCAGGUGACUAAGUCUUGAUGGGAGAAGAAGACACUUCUGGAGAUGUGAGGCAGUUUUACAGAGAACCAGCCACCACUCUGCUCCAGGGGUGGAAGGUCUCUAAGAACUCCACUGGGAGAUUUGAAUUUCGAGUGGUCACCCCACGCCUGCACUACUCCACACCUGCGCUACCUCACACCUAAACUGCCCCACAGCUGGGUCACUCCACACCCAAGCCACUCUUCACCUGUGCUGGUCACCCCACACCUGCACUACUUCCCACCUGAGCUGCCCCACACCUGAGCCCACACCUGGAUUUGGGGGUUUUUCAAGUCAUAUAAAAUGGUUUAUCUGCCCUGCUAACACCUCU
ensembl:antisense Gad1os glutamate decarboxylase 1, opposite strand